rnacentral:rRNA from 1 species
UAGGGAAUCUUCCGCAAUGGACGAAAGUCUGACGGAGCAACGCCGCGUGAGCGAUGAAGGUUUUCGGAUCGUAAAGCUCUGUUGUUAGGGAAGAACAAGUAUGAGUUAACUGCUCAUACCUUGACGGUACCUAACGAGAAAGCCACGGCUAACUACGUGCCAGCAGCCGCGGUAAUACGUAGGUGGCAAGCGUUGUCCGGAUUUAUUGGGCGUAAAGCGCGCGCAGGCGGUUCUUUAAGUCUGAUGUGAAAGCCCCCGGCUCAACCGGGGAGGGUCAUUGGAAACUGGGGAACUUGAGUGCAGAAGAGGAAAGUGGAAUUCCACGUGUAGCGGUGAAAUGCGUAGAGAUGUGGAGGAACACCAGUGGCGAAGGCGACUUUCUGGUCUGUAACUGACGCUGAGGCGCGAAAGCGUGGGGAGCAAACAGG